GUGGGGAAUAUUGCACAAUGGGCGAAAGCCUGAUGCAGCGACGCCGCGUGAGGGAUGAAGGCCUUCGGGUUGUAAACCUCUUUCAGCUCUGAAGAAGCGAAAGUGACGGUAGGAGCAGAAGAAGCACCGGCUAACUACGUGCCAGCAGCCGCGGUAAUACGUAGGGUGCGAGCGUUGUCCGGAAUUAUUGGGCGUAAAGAGCUUGUAGGUGGUUUGUCGCGUCUGCGGUGAAAUCCCAACGCUUAACGUUGGGCUUGCCGUGGGUACGGGCAGACUAGAGUGUGGUAGGGGAGACUGGAAUUCCUGGUGUAGCGGUGAAAUGCGCAGAUAUCAGGAGGAACACCGAUGGCGAAGGCAGGUCUCUGGGCCAUAACUGACACUGAGAAGCGAAAGCAUGGGGAGCGAACAGGAUUAGAAACCCUAGUAGUCC
rnacentral:rRNA from 1 species